rnacentral:rRNA from 1 species
GAUUAGAUACCCUAUUAUUUUUGGAUGUUAAUGUUUUGCCUGAGUAGUAUUAGUUAUGUUCUUGAAACUUAAAGAAUUUGGCGGUAUCUUAUUCCGUUCAGAGGAACCUGUCUCGUUAUCGAUAGUCCGCGUUGGACCUUACUUAGUUGUUUAUUGGUUUGUAUACCGCCGUUUAUUGAUUAUCUUUUUAGAGUUGUUUAAUUUUCUUGUUCCUUUAUUUGGUUUAAUUUCAGGUCAAGGUGCAGCUUUCUCUAAGUGUAUUGGUGGGUUACAAUGUUAUUUGUUGUUUUUGGAUUGUUGGUUUUAAUUACUGGCAUGAAAUUGGAUUUGAUUGUAAUUUUUUGAAGAUUGUUUUUGUGAUAAUUGGUUCUGAGAUAUGUACACAUCGCCCGUCGCUCUCGUUUUAUUUGUUAAUGAGAUAAGUCG